CUGACAUCUUGCAAACAAAUUCAAGCAGAAACUGUCCAAAAACUCACAAGUUCAAUGGAUGCAAGACUUGUGAAGCUUCUAUCAAAUAAGGGGUUCUAUGUUAAAAUGUAACGUGACCUGUUAAAAUGUUUAAAAAGUAAAAAUGUUGGUUUAAGUUUGAUUGAAAUAGCUUUUUAUUUCAGUAAAUAUGCUGCAAACACAACAAAUGACAAUUUUCAGUUCUUUAC
rnacentral:lncRNA from 1 species